UAAUACUCAUACAACCAUUCGUCAUAAUUACAUUCAAUAAAAUACAACAGUAGAUCCUUCGUAAUACUCAUACAACCAUUCGUCAUAAUUACAUUCAAUAAAAUACAACAAUAGAUCCUUCGUAAUACUCAUACAACCAUUCGUCAGCAGCCCAAAUUCAUAAUAGCCCAAUCAACAUCUCAUAGUCAGCUUAAUAUUCAUCGCAAC
rnacentral:lncRNA from 1 species